rnacentral:rRNA from 1 species
UACAGAGGGUGCAAGUGUUAAUCGGAAUUACUGGGCGUAAAGCGUGCGUAGACGGUUAUUUAAGUCAGGUGUGAAAGCCCCGGGCUCAACCUGGGAAUUGCAUUUGUGACUGCACGGCUAGAGUGUGUCAGAGGGGGGUAGAAUUCCACGUGUAGCAGUGAAAUGCGUAGAGAUGUGGAGGAAUACCGAUGGCGAAGGCAGCCCCCUGGGAUAACACUGACGCUCAUGCACGAAAGCGUGGGGAGCAAACAGG